GGGAGGUGUCCGUGUCCUCCCGGGGAUGAGGCCGGCUUGCCAGGAGGGGUCAGGGACCAGGAGCCUGUGGGAAGUUCUGACGGGGGCUGCAGGCGGGAAGGGCCCCACCGGGGGGCGAGCCCCAUGCCGCUGGGCGGCAGGAGACCCGUGAGAGUGUGCCUUGAGGAGGGUGUCUGUGGAACCACAAAUGCCCGCCGGGAAGGGCUUGCUGAAAUGCGGUCUUUAGACGGGAGGCGUCUUCUGCCCUCACCGUCUUUCAAACCCGUGUGGGUCUGAAAGAGCCAUGUCGGAGAGAGAAGGGAGAGGCCUGUCCUGACCUGGCCGAGAGAGCGGGCAGCCCCGGGGGAGAGCGGGGCGAUCGGCCUGGGCUCUGCGAGGCCAGGUCCAAGGGAGGACGUGUGGUCCUCGUGACAGGUGCACUUGCGAAACCUUAGAAGACGGGGUGUGUUGGAAGCGGCUCCUGAUGCUUAAGAAAAGGGAGACUGUAAAGUGAGCGGAGCCGUCAAGUGUGUUAAGGUUUUAAAGGUCGAAGUGUUUUCAGCCCUUGUGACUGCAGUUAGAAAACGUGCGGGGAGUGAAUGGGGUGCCAGGGUGGCCGAGAGGCAGGACGAGGGCCGUGCCGUCCUCUGAUUCAGGGCUUAGUUCUGCAGAAUAAAGUCGGCCUGUUUUCUAAAAGCAUUGGUGGUGCUGAGCUGGUGGAGAAGGCCGCGGGCAGCCCUGGCCACCUGCAGCAGGUGGCAGGAAGCAGGUCGGCCAAGAGGCUAUUUUGGGAAGCCAGAAAACACGGUCGAUGAAUUUAUAGCUUCUGGUUUCCGGGAGGUGGUUGGGCAUGGCUUUGCGCAGCGCCACAGAACUGAAAGUGCCCACUGAGAAAAAAACAACACCUGCUUAAUUUGCAUUUUUCUAAAAGAAGAAACAGAGGCUGACGGAAACUGGAAAGUUCCUGUUUUAACUACUCGAAUUGUGUUUUCGGUCUUAGCUUAUCGACUGCUCACUUAGAUUCAUUUUCAAAGUAAACGUUUAAGAUCCAAGGCAUUCAUAUCCUCUUCUAAGGCGUUAUCCCUGGAGGCUCAUUCACCGCCAGCACCUCCGCUGCCCGCAGGCAUUGCUGUCACUGUCACCGUGACGGCGCGCACGAUUUUCAGUUGGCCCGCUUCCCCUCGUGAUUAGGACAGACGCGGGCACUCUGGCCCAGCCGUCUUGGCUCAGUACUUGCAGGCGUCCGUCUCGGGACGGAGCUCGGGGGAAGAGCGUGACGUGACUCCAGUUGAACGUGAUGGUCGAGAGCCAGUCUGCCCCGAAUCUCUUCCCCCUCGUCUCCUGCGUCAGCCCCCCGUCCGAUGAGAGCCUGGUGGCCCUGGGCUGCCUGGCCCGGGACUUCCUGCCCAGCUCCGUCACCUUCUCCUGGAACUACAAGAACAACAGCAAGGUCAGCAGCCAGAACAUCCAGGACUUCCCGUCCGUCCUGAGAGGCGGCAAGUACUUGGCCUCCUCCCGGGUGCUCCUACCCUCUGUGAGCAUCCCCCAGGACGCAGAGGCCUUCCUGGUGUGCGAGGUCCAGCACCCCAGUGGCAGCAAGUCCCUGUCCCUCUCCGGGCCAGUCGUAGUGGAGCAGCCCCCCGUCUUGAACAUCUUCGUCCCCACCCGGGAGUCCUUCUCCAGUACUCCCCAGCGCACGUCCAAGCUCAUCUGCCAGGCCUCAGACUUCAGCCCCAAGCAGAUCUCCAUGGCCUGGUUCCGUGAUGGGAGACGGGUGGUGUCUGGCGUCAGCACAGGCCCCGUGGAGACCCUGCAGUCCAGUCCGGUGACCUACAGGCUCCACAGCAUGCUGACCGUCACGGAGUCUGAGUGGCUCAGCCAGAGCGUCUUCACCUGCCAGGUGGAGCACAAAGGGCUGAACUACGAGAAGAACGCGUCCUCUCUGUGCACCCCCAAUACCAACUCUCCCAUCACCGUCUUCGCCAUCGCCCCCUCCUUCGCUGGCAUCUUCCUCACCAAGUCGGCCAAGCUCUCCUGCCUGGUCACGGGCCUCGUCACCAGGGAGAGCCUCAACAUCUCCUGGACCCGCCAGGACGGCGAGCUUCUGAAGACCAGCAUCGUCUUCUCUGAGAUCUACGCCAACGGCACCUUCGGCGCCAGGGGCGAGGCCUCCGUCUGCGUGGAGGACUGGGAGUCGGGCGACAGGUUCACGUGCACGGUGACCCACACGGACCUGCCCUCGCCGCUGAAGCAGAGCGUCUCCAGGCCCAGAGGGAUCGCCAGGCACAUGCCGUCCGUGUACGUGCUGCCGCCGGCCCCGGAGGAGCUGAGCCUGCAGGAGUGGGCCUCGGUCACCUGCCUGGUGAAGGGCUUCUCCCCGGCGGACGUGUUCGUGCAGUGGCUGCAGAAGGGGGAGCCCGUGUCCGCCGACAAGUACGUGACCAGCGCCCCGGUGCCCGAGCCCGAGCCCAAGGCCCCCACCUCGUACUUCGUGCAGAGCGUCCUGACGGUGAGCGCAAAGGACUGGAGCGACGGGGAGACCUACACCUGCGUCGUGGGCCACGAGGCCCUGCCCCACACGGUGACCGAGAGGACCGUGGACAAGUCCACCGAGGGGGAGGUGAGCGCCGAGGAGGAAGGCUUCGAGAACCUCAACACCAUGGCCUCCACCUUCAUCGUGCUCUUCCUCCUGAGCCUUUUCUACAGCACCACUGUCACGCUGUUCAAGGUGAAGUGACGCCAGCCAAGCAUGUGGGGGACCAGAGACGGAACAGGAGGGGUGCCCCCUGGGGGUCCGGGGUCCCUGGCCACAUGGCCCGUCCACUUGUACUGAAAUCUUCCCCGUGUCCCUCGCCAGCUUCCAGCCCUAGAAACUGGCUUCUCUCCACGCGGCCGAAUGCUGCGGCCGAGCACGGCGCCCAUAGCCGUGGGCCCUGCCCAGCCCCGCCUGGCCCUGCUUUGUAAUGUGGCGCUUGUGGCCUUGAAAUAAACGCGUACGUUUUAUCUCGUG